UACAGAGGGUGCGAGCGUUGUUCGGAUUCAUUGGGCGUAAAGGGUGCGUAGGCGGCGCGGUAAGUCGGGUGUGAAAUCUCGGAGCUUAACUCCGAAACUGCAUUCGAUACUGCCGUGCUUGAGGACUGGAGAGGAGACUGGAAUUUACGGUGUAGCGGUGAAAUGCGUAGAUAUCGUAAGGAAGACCAGUGGCGAAGGCGGGUCUCUGGACAGUUCCUGACGCUGAGGCACGAAGGCCAGGGGAGCAAACGGG
rnacentral:rRNA from 1 species